AUCAGGUCAGAGAAGAAGGAGGAAGAGGCUAAACAGGAGGAAGAUACAAAGGAGGAAGAUGCAAAGAAAGAUGAUGAAACCAAAACUGAGCAGAAGGAAGAGACUAAACCUGAAGAGCAACAAGCAUCCACAUAGGCAAACCUGCGAGAUUCAAGAUUUGGUCAUCAACAGUCACACAAGAAUUUAUCCACAUCAUUUUUCAUGCAAAGAAGUCCAUUGGAAGAAGCACAACAAAACUAAAACAGCAGAACGUUUACUUGUUUACUGCUGUGUGUAAAAAUGUGUAUAGUUUGCAACUGUAUUUUCACUCACAGUCAACUCAUUCCUAAGACUUAAAUAUCUAUGAAAGUUGUGAUAUUUAAGUCAAUGUUCUGCCAUAAAACUGCAGUGGUAUUAAUUAUUUAUGAACUUUGAAAUCUGGCCAUGUGCUGAUGAAUCCUGUUUACUCUGUUAAUGACUAGGCCAGAAAAGUGUUUAUUUACCCAUGUAUCCUAACAUAUGUUUGUGAUAUCUGUGAUGUUUACAAUAAUUGUUAUACUUUCUAUUUAUUUAAAAUAUGGAAAAAUGUUUUAAUAAAUAUGACCUUGUCA